GUGUCAGCAGCCGCGGUAAGACGUAGGAUGCGAGCGUUGUUCGGAUUUAUUGGGCGUAAAGCGUACGUAGGCGGCUUUUUAAGUCUGGUGUUAAAGCUAGGGGCUCAACCCCUGUGUUGCACUGGAAACUGGAAGGCUUGAGUGUGGUAGGGGAAGGUGGAAUUCCGAGUGUAGCGGUGAAAUGCGUAGAUAUUCGGAAGAACACCGGUGGCGAAAGCGACCUUCUGGGCCAUUACUGACGCUGAGGUGCGAAAGCUUGGGGAGCGAACGGGAUUAGAUACCCUGGUAGUCC
rnacentral:rRNA from 1 species